rnacentral:misc_RNA from 1 species
UCGUAACAAGGUCUCCGUUGGUGAACCAGCGGAGGGAUCAUUAUCGAGUUAUUCAACUCCCAAACCCUAUGUGAACUUACCACUUGUUGCUUCGGCGCGCGCUUCGGCGCCGCCGAGGACACUUAAACUCUUUGUUUUUAUAAGCAUUUCUGAGUGGCCGAAAGGCAAAAAUACAAAUGAAUCAAAACUUUCAACAACGGAUCUCUUGGUUCUGGCAUCGAUGAAGAACGCAGCGAAAUGCGAUAAGUAAUGUGAAUUGCAGAAUUCAGUGAAUCAUCGAAUCUUUGAACGCACAUUGCGCCCGCCAGCAUUCUGGCGGGCAUGCCUGUUCGAGCGUCAUUUCAACCCUCGAGCCCGACUCUUCGGAGGACGGCUCGGCGUUGGGGGACGGCAGACUCCCCCCGGCAUCUCGCCGGGGACGCCGCCCCCGAAAUUUAGUGGCGGCCCUCCGAGGCGACCUCUGCGUAGUAACUUGUUCUCGCACCGGAAAGCUCAGAGCGGCCACGCCGUAAAACCCCAACUUUUUUUAGGUUGACCUCGAAUCAGGUAGGACUACCCGCUGAACUUAAGCAUAUCAAUAA